UCGUACGUAGAGGGUAAAGGCAAAAGAGAGCUUGAUUGAAAGACAUACAGGUCGAGCAAGGAUGAAAAUCGGACUUAGUGAUCCGGUGGGUCUGCGUGGAAGGGCCAUCGCUCAACGGAUAAAAGCUACCCUGGGGAUAACAGGCUUAUCUCCCCCAAGAGUCCACAUCGACGGGGAGGUUUGGCACCUCGAUGUCGGCUCAUCACAUCCUGGGGCUGUAGUAGGUCCCAAGGGUUGGG
rnacentral:rRNA from 1 species